rnacentral:rRNA from 1 species
CGAAGGGGCGUAGCGUUGCUCGGAAGUCACUGGGCGGUAAAGGGACGGCGUAGGCGGCCGAUUAAAGUCGGGGGUGGAAAGACCUGUGGCUCAACCAACAGAAUUGCCUUCGUAUACUGGUUGGGUCUUGUAGACCGGAAGAGGACAGCGGAACUGCGAGUGUAGAGGUGAAAUUCGUAGAUAUUCGCAAGAACACCAGUGGCGAAGGCGGCUGUCUGGUCCGGUUCCUGACGCUGAGGCGACGAAAGCGGUGGGGAGGACAAACAGGAUU